rnacentral:rRNA from 1 species
GACGAACGCUGGCGGCGUGCUUAACACAUGCAAGUCGAACGACGAGCGAUGGAAGCUUGCUUCUAUCAGUCUUAGUGGCGAACGGGUGAGUAACGCGUAAUCAACCUGCCCUUUUGAGGGGGACAACAGUUGGAAACGACUGCUAAUACCGCAUACGAUCUAAUCUCGGCAUCGAGGAGAGAUGAAAGGUGGCCUCUACAUGUAAGCUCUCACUGAAGGAGGGGAUUGCGCCUGGUUAGCUAGUUGGAGGGGUAACGGCCCACCAAGGCGAGGAUCAGUAGCCGGGCUGGGAGGAUGAACGGCCACAUUGGGACUGAGACACGGCCCAGACUCCUACGGGAGGCAGCAGGGGGGAAUCUUUCGCAAUGGACGAAAGUCUGACGGAGCAACGCCGCGUGAGUGAUGACGGCCUUCGGGUUGGAAAGCUCUGUUAAUCGGGACGAAAGGCCUUCUUGCGAAUAGUGAGAAGGAUUGACGGUACCGGAAGAGAAAGCCACGGCUAACUACGUG